rnacentral:tRNA from 1 species
GCGCCCCUAGCUCAACUAGGUAGAGCAACGGACUCUUAAUCCGUGGGUUAGAGGUUCGAUUCCUCUGGGGCGUA